GCCAUUAUUUUUCCUUAGCGAGAUGAGAGUGAUUAAGAGCACAGAAUUUGGAACCAGGAUAUCUGUGUUGAAAGCCCAAUUCUUCUACUUAUUAAGUAUAUCAUUUUAGUUCUGGAAGCUGGGAAGCCUAAGAUCAAGGAACUGAAAGAGUUGGAGUCUAGUGAGGACUGAGUCUCCACUUCCAAGAUGGUGCCUUGAAUGCUGCAUCCUCCAGAGGCAGGGAACGCCAUUCCUCACAUGGCAGAAGAGUGGAAGAGCAAGAAAGAGAAACUCACUCCUGAAAGUCCUCUUUAAAAAAGCAUUAAGCUUGCCCAUGAAGGUAGCGCCCUCAUGACCUAAUCACCUCUUAAAGGUCCUACUUCCCAAUACUAUUACAUUGGACAUUAAAUGUUAACAUGAAUUUUGGAAGGAACAAGCAUUCAAACCAUAGCAGUGGACCCCCUUUGCCUGGAACAGUCUGCUUUUAGCACUGAAAGUCUCGUGUUCUAGGAAAUCUUUCAGUUGGGGGCAAACUGGAAUGGUUGGUCACCCCAACUUCUUCCUACCCCUAGAUAUCUCUACCAUUGGCCUGUCACAGAAUCUGGAAUGAAUCCAUAGGCUAGCACUAUGUUUUCACGAAUCAUAUGUUAAAAUGCACCAAGACAGUACAUUAAUACGAGUUUUCAUUAUUCAUUUUUUAGUGGGAAUAUGUUUUUAGCUAUGUAGCUCCCACUUCAGACAACAGAGAGCUGAGCCACGACUGAAGAGUAAUUAUUGAUAGUGGGGAGGAAAAGGAAAGAACAACCGUUUGUUAAGCACAUGCUACGUUUAAGGAGUCCUGAUGGGCUUUUAAUAUUAAUAGAAACAGUUCAGAAAUCAGGCACUGGGUACAUGGAGAGGGUAGGAGAUUGAGUUAGCGAGUGGGGAGAUAAGAAGCAAAUCCUCUAAAAGAAAUUAAGUCAUUACUUAGCUGAGUGGAGAAGAUAGCUUUCAGGUCAAACCCCAGAUUUGCAUUUGUAUUUUGACUCUGCGUCUUUCUAACAGUGGAAUUGUGACCAAAAGUCUUAACCCCAACACUGAGUUUUCUCAUCGCUAAAACUGGAAUAUAAUACUUUCCCCAAGGGGUUCUAUGUUUUGUGCAAAUUAAAUGAAGUAAAGUGGGUAGAAUAUUUAGUGCCUACUACCUAACAAGCACUAUAUACACGUUUGAAGCUGCCACUCCUACUGUUACUGUUGGUACAUUUAUUCAAGGACGCCUUGCUCAGAAAGCCCUGGCUUCUCAUUUAUCCCCACUUUUGAGGGCCUAUCAUUGCUUUGUCUCUUUGACAUGUAAGCUAUUUGAUGUCUUUGCUGAAAAUCACUGGGUUUCUUGUUGCAUAUAUGCACAUGGCCACACAAUCAGAAGAAAAAAAAACAAAACAAUGAAAAGCAAUUGACUUUGCUUAUAAAAUCAUUAUCACAGCAGUAUUGUUUUUCUUCUGUGCCUCAUUCUGAGUUCCAUUCUUUUGGGGUUUUCCCAGGCAUCAAUUCAAUGCUUCCAAUUUUUAUGGGAUUUAAGUUACAUUUAAGGGGCUAUAUAAAUGCAAAAAAGGGAACAAGUUUGGGACUUCCAAAUCUGUGCUAUCAAAAGGACUGCACGAAAUUUUUCAUUUUCUUCCACAUAACUCUGCCUGAACGUUAUUUAUGGUUCGAGCAAAAUAGUAGACAUGGAAUAAGAAUUCAUUCAGCUAAGGCAUCUCGGUUAUUCAUAGGUGAACUGAAGCCCUAAACUAUCAUCAAAUUUCACUAGCAACAUUCCAAUGAUGCAGUCAUAUAAAAUUGAAAUUGUAAUGAAAUGUAACUUUACAUGUAUUCAUGGAUUUAAAAGGAAAAAAGAAUACCAUUUCCUCCUAUUGGUGUCAAUUUAAAGUCCCUAUUUUUUUUAAAUCGAGGUGCCUACUAAAGAUAGGCCCAAUAUUUUUGGCAAGAGGAGAACUUUUUUCAUUGGUGUUUAUUCUCCAAAUAAGAAUUACAUGUAAACACUUGUAAUUGAUCUUUAAAGCCUUUCUUGACAUAAAUAUAAAAAGCAGACUAUCACAGAUUGCCAAAUUUGUAAGAUAUGGCAAAAAGUAUUUGGUAUCAUCUAUUCAUGUUACAUGUAAAAAUUUUGCUUUGAGAUCGCAUACACAUAUUAGGUGAGUCACAUCUGUGUCUUUUAAUUUCAAUUCUCUUUCUGUUACAUUACACUGCUUUUCUUAAUGAAAAAUUUUAGCAAAUAGUAUUGAAAUAGGAUUUUAAGGAAAGAGUGUGAAAAUAGAGGAGUGCCUUCCAGAAUGCCAAAUAAAGUCCAGUAGUUUUAAUAAUUUUAAAAUAUUGAUAAAAUAAAGAGUUAAUUCAUAUUGUCAGGAAGAGCAUAAGGGAGAUUAAGCAAAGUAACAUUUUUUUUUUUUUUUGAGAUGGAGUCUUGCUCUGUCACCCAGGCUGGAGUGCAGUGGUGCAACCUCAGCUCAUCGCAACCUCUGCCUCCUGGGUUCAAGUGUUCUUCUGCCUCAGCCUCCCGAGUUGCUGGUAUUACAGGCACCCACCACCAUGCCUGGCUAAUUUUUUUGUAUUUUUAGUAGAGAUCAGGUUUCACCAUGUUGGCCAGGCUGGUUUUGAACUCCUGACCUGAAGUGAUCCACCCGCCUCAGCCUCCCAAAGUGCUAGGAUUACAGGCGUGAGCCACCGUGCCCGGCCACAAAGUAACCUUUUGAAAUAGAAUCUAAAGUGCCCCAAAAUGGCUUUUUAAUGAAAUUCUAGUGAAAAUCCUAAGGAAAUGAUGUAUUACUAUUUACUUAUUAACCUAUGAGAAUACAUACUAUGCUUUUUAUUUUUCUCUUGAAAGUAAAGAAAUAAAAGUAAUGGUUAACCAAGCCCCAUUUAUUUCUGGUUUCUAACGCCAUUUAGUUCAGAGUUUCUUAAAGUGAAGUCUUUAAACCGUGAACAUCAAAAUUAAUGUAAUGCUUCUUAAAAAUGCAGUUUCCAGGCCAUCCUUCAAACUUACUGAAUUACAAUCUUUGAGGAAUGGGGCCUACAAGUCAGUCCUUUAACAACCUCCCCAAAUGACUCUGAAGUACAAUAAUGUUUAAGAACCAUAUUUAAAUUUUACUCUUCCAUGUUGAUUAAUGAUUUGAUAUCACAGAUUAAGUAAAAGAUGGUUUCUUUUGCAUUACUUAAGUUUUAGUGUCAUUUGAAGAAGUGGCUGUACUGGUCCUUUGCAGUGAUUUUUAAUUUUAUUGUUACGUGGAAUAAAUAUUUCAUUGUAUGUGGUAGAAUCUGACAGCCUAUCGAAGAAAUUUCUUAGAACAUUAACAGGUGAGUCUGUAAGCUGUGCCUUUGUUGGGGCAGCUCUUUGGCAUAAACCAAUGGGAUUUGAGUAAUGGGCCAUAUGUCUGUUACAAUUCUGUAAAAAAAUUGGCUUACUUCAGAGAUGGAAAAAUGAUGCCAUCAAGCAGGAGUUGACAAUGUUUUCUUUUCUGCAAAAGGCCAAAGAGUAUUUUAGGCUUUGCAGGCCAUACAAUCUCUCUCGCGACUACUGAACUCCACUGUUGUAGUGUGAACACAGUCAUAAACAAUACAUAAAUAAAAGGAGCAUGUCUGUAUUGCAAUAAAACUUCAUUUACAAAAACUUUAAUUACAGUCUGAAUUAAGCCUGUGGACCAGUGUUUGUUGAUCCCCUAACAUAGACCAUUUAAUAUGUGAUUCAAUCAAUAUUUAAGGUAAAAGCAAUAGCACAAAUAUUGAAUAUUUACAACCUGAACGUAUAUGAGAACAUUGAUAAAAUGGAUUUAAAAAUACAGUGUUUGCUUCCUGUUCUAUUUUUCUUUAUUUUCUUUCCUUAUUGGUGAUACAAUGGCCCUACUGUGACUAAUCAUUGUGGUAGACUGUAAAUGUAGCCACAGAUUGGCCUCUCAUCAAGAGCUUAAGUCUAUUUCCACUGCCCUUUAAGCUGGCCCUGUGAUGAUCUCCGUACAACAGGAUGCAGCAGAAGUGUUGUGUUAGUUCUAACUUUAGACUUAAGAAGCCUUUCAGCUUCCACUUUCAUGCUGGGAAUCCUGAUGAAGAAAGAAAAUUCAUGUGGGGAGAGGUCUCAGCUGCCUUCAUCAUCUUAAUUGUCUUUAUUGAGGUCCACAUGAGGCCCACACGUAUAAUUGGACCCACCUGAGGAAAGGUAAGCCCAGCCCAAAUUAUCAAGCCCCAAAGCGGUGAUCUAAAUAAGACAGUUUUUGUUUUUAAGCCACUAUGUUUUAGUGUGAUUUAUUAUGCAGCAACCUAUAACUGAUACAAACAGGUAGCAAGGUCAUGAGCUGAGAAUGAAAAGGGGGUGGAUGUGUUUGAGGUUUGCAUCAAAGGUAUGGCAUGGAGAAAGUGUGAGAUGGUACAUCUGUGAGUAUCCUAGAACGGACAAGGGAAAUACAGUAGGGUGCUGAAGAGUACUGAGUUCACUUGAGGUGAAUAAACUUAACAUACUUUAUGAACUUAAAAUAAGGCCAGUUAGAAUGGUUGUGUGGUUUUUGCCCCAAAAUGUUCCAGCUGUGCAGAUACAGACAAAAA
rnacentral:lncRNA from 1 species